AGCCGUGACGUAGUCUGUUCCUACUGCCAAAGGAGGUCCAAACCUUUCUGCUAGAUAUCGUGUGUGAAUUUUUUUCCUGGAAACAUUCAAAUUACCAACUGUGACUUUACACAGCAGCAGUCACGAUACCAUUUAAUAUUCACCAACAUUCAACUGUACAUGGGAAUGCUGGGAAUGCAAGGCUCAAGACCCAACUUCAAAUGGGAAUACCAAGAAUACAAGGUCCUGGCAUCCACAAUGCUGCCAGACCUGCCAAGUUUCUCCAUCAAUUUUUGCUUUUGACACUGUUCAAUAUGCUUUUCAAACUUAGUUCAAAAUACUGCUUUGAUAUAUACUUGGUAUAUUGCUUAAAGUACCACUUGAUACAUUACUCAAUGUACUGCUCCAGAUACUUUUUUUCAAUAUACCACACAAUAUACUGCUUGAUAUACUGUUCAAUAUACUGUUCAAUGUACUGCCCAUUUUGUAUUACCCACUAUACUGCUGUGUGUAUUACUCAAUAUACUGCUAUAUGUACUGCUUGAUAUAAUACUCCAUGUACUGCUCAUUAUGCCUUUCAGUAUUCUGCUUCAUAUAUUGCUCAAUCUAUUGCCCAAUAUGCUGCUUAAUAAACUACUUAAUAUAUUGCUCAA